GUGGUACCAACUAUUUCUAGAGGUACUCUUAAAAAACAGACACAUUGGUAUUCAUUCUUGACACCAUGUUCACAUGUAUCUGAUGAAGAAAAUGAAGCUCAAAGAAAGAAAAUAUUCUAAUAUAAAGAUUUUUUUUUGCAAGUAAUUUAAAAUGACAUUUAAUGGUAGUUUAUGUUUAUUAUUCAGUUCGGUUAAUGAUAAAAAGAGGAAGACCCUGUAAUGGAAGUAUUCUAAUAUUAAGAGAUACUUAUGUAAUGAUGCAAUUAUGCUUUUUAUGCAGUAUUAAGACAUUCAGUUUAUUUAUGAACUGUUAAGACCAUGUUUGGAAUAAAUAAAUUUUUUUAUGGAAUGCAUUUAGAGAUCUUGUAGUUUUUAUACUUUAGUUCAAGCAUGAAAAAAAUGAACAUUCAAUUUUAAAUAAAUUCUAAGUGGAUUUGAAGAAACAUGUUUCAAAUUUUACCAAUCUUGACAGAUGAAUUAUGGUGGCUUUAGAUAUCUAUCUGGUUCCUAUCUUCACUAACCAUUUAGGGCAUGCUAAAUGGAAAUGACUUUCACAAAACUAUAAUUUAUGAAUAAGUUCAAGUAUAAUUCAUUUGUUCCGAGCAUAUCCUAAGUAUAGACUUGUUAUUUAUUUAUUCAAGAUCCUAUGUAAUCAUUUCCUAUCUAGUAUUCCAGACAUGAUGGCAUUUCUAAGACCCCUAUAAAUAAUUAGAUGAUAUUAUAUUAUAUUAAGACUGCCUAUGAAUAAAUAUACAAAUGCACUCAUUGGUUGAUUGUCUUAACAACCUCUUACUGUAAUUAUAUAUUGUAUCUUCUGGAUUUUCAAUGUCUGUGGUUGUAAGUCGAAUAUGUUUCUCCCUUUUUUGUCCUUUUUGCUUUAAAGAUUAUUGUGUAACCUCCAAACAAAAACACACGAAAAUACAGCAUAGCUUGAACCAAAACUUUUUACAGAAGAAAGGACUUACCAGUCAUUGAACUUAGUGAUUAGUGACAUCAAUAUCUUGAUUGAGAAGAUUUUUUCCAAUUUCAAAAU
rnacentral:lncRNA from 1 species